UACGAAGGGGGCUAGCGUUGUUCGGAUUUACUGGGCGUAAAGCGCACGUAGGCGGAUCGUUAAGUCGAGGGUGAAAUCCUGGAGCUCAACUCCAGAACUGCCUUCGAUACUGGCGAUCUCGAGUCCGGAAGAGGUGAGUGGAACUCCUAGUGUAGAGGUGGAAUUCGUAGAUAUUAGGAAGAACACCAGUGGCGAAGGCGGCUCACUGGUCCGGUACUGACGCAUGAGGUGCGAAAGCGUGGGGAGCAAACAGG
rnacentral:rRNA from 1 species